UGUGUAGGCGGUUUGGUAAGUCUGGUGUGAAAUCUCCCGGCUCAACUGGGAGGGUGCGCCGGAAACUGCCGGACUCGAGUGCGGGAGAGGAAAGUGGAAUUCCUGGUGUAGCGGUGAAAUGCGUAGAUAUCAGGAGGAACACCGGUGGUGUAGACGGCUUUCUGGACCGUAACUGACGCUGAAACACGAAAGCGUGGGUAGCAAACAGGAUUAGAUACCCUGGUAGUCCACGUCCUAAACGAUGCACAUUUGGUGUGGGUCAUUCAGUUGAUCCGUGCCGGAGCUAACGCGUUAAAUGUGCCGCCUGGGGAGUACAGUCGCAAGGCUGAA
rnacentral:rRNA from 1 species